rnacentral:rRNA from 1 species
UACGGAGGGUGCAAACGUUGCUCGGAAUCAUUGGGCGUAAAGCGCACGUAGGUGGCCUGUUAAGUCGGGUGUGAAAUCCCUGGGCUCAACCCAGGAAGUGCACUGAAACUGGCAGGCUUGAGUACUGAAGAGGGUCGCGGAAUUCCUGGUGUAGCGGUGGAAUGCGCAGAUAUCAGGAGGAACACCGGUGGCGAAGGCGGGUCUCUGGGCAGUAACUGACGCUGGAGGAGCGAAAGCCGUGGGGAGCGAACAGG